GAUACUCCAAAAUAUGAACUUUCAUCAACGCCUUAUUUGCUUAAGAAACCCACCCAAUACCUUGACCACCUUCAAACGUAAAGAGGCAAGUCAUCUUCCAUGAGGCUUUAGCCUUCCCUUUUUUCAUCUUCCCUUGUCACCAAAGAAAUCCAUGUAUCUUCUUUUCAAGACUAUAAAUGAUACUUGCUGGAAGAAAGAAUGCUGACGCCCACUAGUGAUGCAUAGAGAACAGCAUAGAGUUGAUAAGCUGGAGUCUCCCUGUAGGGAACUCCAUAUUAACAAACAGGAAGUUUACCUUCUUCGAGUGGUAGUAUAUCCAAGAUAGCUAUUUCACCUGCUCCGAAACGUUACAAAAGAACACUGUACGUUUAGGAAAACUUGAGACCCAACAUGUUCUCAAAAGCAUUUACAGCCUCCAUUAGUACAUUAGUAGAGUUCUUAUCACCCCUAGCAAGAUCAUCUGCAGAACAAAGGUCGUUUUUCACAAUAAUUUGGAAUCUUGACCUGUUAACAAACUCUGUUAUGAAUCAACAACUUCAAACGAAAUCCUUUGAUUUAGACAGAUUUGCUAAGUAGCUCGGUAGCGAGAUGAAAGCGAGUUUCAAGGAUGCAAAAUCUCCGCAUAGAGGAGAGAGAAUUUGUGUGAUUAUUAUAGAUAAUCUAUGUGUUGGAUAUGAUUUGAUAAACUUUAUUUAUUACAAUUUACAACGUUUUUCCAAUUUUUGAUAAAUCAAUUUGAUAUGUUAAAUGCAUCACUAAGUUUUAAACUUUA